rnacentral:rRNA from 1 species
GACGAACGCUGGCGGCCUGCUUAACACAUGCAAGUCGAACGGAAAGGCCCUGCUUGCAGGGUACUCGAGUGGCGAACGGGUGAGUAACACGUGGGUGAUCUGCCCUGCACUUCGGGAUAAGCUUGGGAAACUGGGUCUAAUACCGGAUAGGAGCCAUCUUUAGUGUGGUGGUUGGAAAGUUUUUUCGGUGUAGGAUGAGCUCGCGGCCUAUCAGCUUGUUGGUGGGGUAAUGGCCUACCAAGGCGGCGACGGGUAGCCGGCCUGAGAGGGUGUACGGCCACAUUGGGACUGAGAUACGGCCCAGACUCCUACGGGAGGCAGCAGUGGGGAAUAUUGCACAAUGGGCGCAAGCAUGAUGCAGCGACGCCGCGUGGGGGAUGAAGGCCUUCGGGUUGUAAACUCCUUUCGCUAGGGACGAAGCUUUGUUGUGACGGUACCUAGAGAAGAAGCACCGGCUAACUACGUG